UACGAAGGGGGCUAGCGUUGCUCGGAAUGACUGGGCCGUAAAGGGCGCGUAGGCGGAAUGCUUUGUCGGGCGUGAAAUUCCAGGGCUCAACCUUGGGGCUGCGUUCGAGACGGGUAUUCUUGAGUUCGGAAGAGGGUCGUGGAAUUCCCAGUGUAGAGGUGAAAUUCGUAGAUAUUGGGAAGAACACCGGUGGCGAAGGCGGCGACCUGGGUC
rnacentral:rRNA from 1 species